UUGAAAGCCAGCAAUCUGGAAACCUGCAGAUAUGUCCUUCAACUGAAUGUUGACCCAUGUUUUAUGUAUUUAAAAAUAAUACCAGUCUCGGGUAUUGAAAAGUGUUUGUUUUGAUGGAAGACAGGGAAUACAACAGGAAGAGGCUAGUAGUAUUAAUUUUCAGUAUAGGUAAUAAACUAAUUAUCCUAAUUAUUAGCAAAAAUCGAAGCAAUUUAUUUCAUUUCCAUUUGACGACUUCAAAAUGAAAAAAAAAUAACGAAUAUAUAUAUAUAUAUCUCAUUCUGGAGACAUUCCAACAAUCUUAUUUCAGUUUGAUAAAUAAGGAUGGAAAAGGAGAUAAAGUGUAUGUUAGUUCCUAAAAGAAUCAGUGUGAAUGUCAACAUUAUAAUUGAAUCACUUAUUGACAAAUUUCAUUGUUUACCACUGCAGUGUGAACACAAGCUAAAGUGGAAAUUCCCACCUGAGGUGUCAGCAUCAUCAUCAUCAUCAUGGAAAACUAUCUGGAGUAUAAUUCUUGCUAAAGGGCCUGAGGAGAAUGAACUUCGAUGGGAAAAAGAAGAAUGGGAAAGAUGA
rnacentral:lncRNA from 1 species